rnacentral:rRNA from 1 species
UCAGGACGAACGCUGGCGGCGUGCUUAACACAUGCAAGUCGAACGAGGAUUAUGUUGGAAGGGCUUCGGCCUGGAAGGCGUAAUUCGAGUGGCGGACGGGUGAGUAACGCGUGAACAAUCUGUCCCGGACAGGGGAAUAACACUUGGAAACAGGUGCUAAUACCGCAUAAGACCACGCCCUCGCAUGGGGGAGGGGUAAAAGGAGGAAUCCGGUUCGGGGUGAGUUCGCGUCCGAUUAGAUAGUUGGUGAGGUAACGGCCCACCAAGUCGACGAUCGGUAGCCGACCUGAGAGGGUGAUCGGCCACAUUGGAACUGAGAGACGGUCCAAACUCCUACGGGAGGCAGCAGUGGGGAAUCUUCCGCAAUGGGCGCAAGCCUGACGGAGCAACGCCGCGUGAGUGAGGAAGUUCUUCGGAACGUAAAGCUCUGUUGUUCCUGACGAACCUCCCCUCUAUCAACAACGGAGGGGACUGACGGUAGGGAACGAGGAAGCCACGGCUAACUACGUGCCAGCCGCCGC